rnacentral:lncRNA from 1 species
UGUCAGGACUGAUAACAACAAGACAGCCUGAGACAGGAUUUUGGCAGGUGAUGUGCUGAGGGCAGUGCCCUCCACGCCCCACUGGCGGGAGGGGUGCCCUGCCACUCCAGAUGGGUCUCUGUCGUGGGGUCAGCAGUCAGGGUGCUAGGACAGCACAUUCUCUCCCCGCCUGAUCCAAUGAGGAUGCGAGGUGCCGGGUGGAGGUCCCCGUCCCAGUCUCUGGAUGCCUUCCUUCAUUUCAGUUUGCACAUUUGCCAUUUCCACCCCUCUCCUCAUAGGUUCUGGAGCCAUCGUUGCUGCCAUUGUGGUAAUUGUCAUCGUCAUCUUCACCGUGGUUCUCAUCCUGCUGAAGAUGUACAACAGGAAAAUGAGGACGAGGCGGGAGCUGGAGCCCAAGGGGCCCAAGCCAGCCUCCCCUUCUGCCUUGGGCCCAAACAACAACAGCAGCCAACACCCUGCUACUGUGACCUUCAGCCCUGUUGACGUCCACGUGGAUACUCGGUGACCCCCCCCCCACCUUGGUGCUUUCUUGGCCACCGUCCAAAGAGCCUUCUCCAGUCAAGACCCAGACGCACAUUUCUCCUCUGGCAGCUUCACUAUGAAUUCCUUCCGGUUGGGUCAACAAGGGGCAUCUCAUGCAAUUCCGGAUGCUUCAGGCAACCCCCAACCCUGCCCUGCCCUGCCCUGCCCCACCCUAGCUGUGUCCCUGUCCCUGGUGCCACCCUUGCAAAAAGCUGUGGGACAUUCUUUUGUGCUCUGAUGAGGUAGAGCUCUGUUGGGAAUCCACUGAAGUGGGUGUGGCUCUCUCUCCCAAACACAGUUGCUAGACAGACAGCCCAGGAGUCUUCUGGUCAGGAGUCGGGGGUCAGAGCAGCUCCCGAGAGCAGGGUCUGCCACUGGGGUCCUAUCAGAAUAAGGGUUAUACUCUGCUCAAAACGUUCAAUGCCAUUCAUCAGGCACAGGGGAACUCACUUGGGCUAACUAACCCAAAACCAGCUUGUUAAUUUAUAACUUGUUCCGGGACUAGGUGACCGCUAGCUAGCUCGUGCAAACGGUCAGCAGAUUUCUCUGUCUUUAAGAAAGGUUAUGGGAAAGACAAUUGUUCUCGAAAGUUUUCUACUUCAUUUAGUAAAGAGUCAGAGGAGAAGGAAUAGGGUGACCUUGAGGAAUGAUGGCCUCUGGGGCAAAAGCCUAUUGCGGUGUCCUGGGGCGGGGUCAGAGCCCCUCCUCUCCCUCUGGGGCUGGAUUGAGCCUGACUCAAGUCUCAUUUCUUGGCUUCCCUCUGUUUGAAUUCUGAGCAAUCCUCUCUCUCUCCAGGUCACACCUUCCCUCCAAGGACCAGUAUUAGAGACUGAUAAGAUUACAACUC